ACUUUGUGUUGAGUGUACCUUUCGAAUAAGCACCGGCUAACUACGUGCCAGCAGCCGCGGUAAUACGUAGGGUGCAAGCGUUAUCCGGAAUUAUUGGGCGUAAAGGGCUCGUAGGCGGUUCGUCGCGUCCGGUGUGAAAGUCCAUCGCUUAACGGUGGAUCCGCGCCGGGUACGGGCGGGCUUGAGUGCGGUAGGGGAGACUGGAAUUCCCGGUGUAACGGUGGAAUGUGUAGAUAUCGGGAAGAACACCAAUGGCGAAGGCAGGUCUCUGGGCCGUUACUGACGCUGAGGAGCGAAAGCGUGGGGAGCGAACAGGAUUAGAUACCCUGGUAGUCCACGCCGUAAACGGUGGAUGCUGGAUGUGGGGCCCGUUCCACGGGUUCCGUGUCGGAGCUAACGCGUUAAGCAUCCCGCCUGGGGAGUACGGCCGCAAGGCUAAAACUCAAAGAAAUUGACGGGGGCCCGCACAAGCGGCGGAGCAUGCGGAUUAAUUCGAUGCAACGCGAAGAACCUUACCUGGGCUUGACAUGUUCCCGACGAUCCCAGAGAUGGGGUUUCCCUUCGGGGCGGGUUCACAGGUGGUGCAUGGUCGUCGUCAGCUCGUGUCGUGAGAUGUUGGGUUAAGUCCCGCAACGAGCGCAACCCUCGCCCCGUGUUGCCAGCGGAUUAUGCCGGGAACUCACGGGGGACCGCCGGGGUUAACUCGGAGGAAGGUGGGGAUGACGUCAGAUCAUCAUGCCCCUUACGUCCAGGGCUUCACGCAUGCUACAAUGGCCGGUACAACGGGAUGCGACAGUGCGAGCUGGAGCGGAUCCCUGAAAACCGGUCUCAGUUCGGAUCGCAGUCUGCAACUCGACUGCGUGAAGGCGGAGUCGCUAGUAAUC
rnacentral:rRNA from 1 species